rnacentral:rRNA from 1 species
UACGUAGGGCGCAAGCGUUAUCCGGAAUUAUUGGGCGUAAAGAGCUCGUAGGCGGUUUGUCGCGUCUGCCGUGAAAGUCCGGGGCUCAACUCCGGAUCUGCGGUGGGUACGGGCAGACUAGAGUGAUGUAGGGGAGACUGGAAUUCCUGGUGUAGCGGUGAAAUGCGCAGAUAUCAGGAGGAACACCGAUGGCGAAGGCAGGUCUCUGGGCAUUAACUGACGCUGAGGAGCGAAAGUAUGAGGAGCGAACAGG